rnacentral:tRNA from 1 species
AAAAGGGUAAGCUAACAAUAAGCUUUUGGGCUCAUAUCCCAAAUAUGGAGGUACUCCCUCUUUUA